rnacentral:rRNA from 1 species
AUUGAACGCUGGCGGCAGGCCUAACACAUGCAAGUCGAGCGGAGCGGCGGACGGGUGAGUAAUGCCUAGGAAUCUGCCUGGUAGUGGGGGAUAACGUCCAGAAACGGGCGCUAAUACCGCAUACUAUCAGAUGAGCCUAGGGCGGAUUAGCUAGUUGGAGGGGUAAAGGCCUACCAAGGCGACGAUCCUUAACUGGUCAGAGAGAAUGAUCAGUCAACCUGGAACUGAGACACGGACCAGACUCCUACGGGAGGCAGCAGUGGGGAACAUUGGUCAAUGGGCGAAAGACUGAGCCAGCCAGGCCGGGUGUGUGAAGAAGGUCUUCGGAUUGUAAAGCACUUUAAGUGGGGAGGCGGUACCAACAGAAUAAGCACCGGCUAACUUCGUGCCAGCAGCCGCGGUAAUAC